UACGUAGGGUGCAAGCGUUGUCCGGAAUUAUUGGGCGUAAAGAGCUCGUAGGCGGUUUGUCGCGUCGGCUGUGAAAGCCCGGAGCUCAACUCCGGGUCUGCAGUCGAUACGGGCAGACUUGAGUGUUGCAGGGGAGACUGGAAUUCCUGGUGUAGCGGUGAAAUGCGCAGAUAUCAGGAGGAACACCGAUGGCGAAGGCAGGUCUCUGGGCAUUAACUGACGCUGAGGAGCGAAAGCAUGGGGAGCGAACAGG
rnacentral:rRNA from 1 species